UACGGAGGGUGCAAGUGUUAUCCGGAAUCACUGGGCGUAAAGCGUCUGUAGGUGGUCAAAUAAGUCAACUGUUAAAUCUUGAGGCUCAACUUCAAAAUCGCAGUCGAAACUAUUAGACUAGAGUAUAGUAGGGGUAAAGGGAAUUUCCAGUGGAGCGGUGAAAUGCGUAGAGAUUGGAAAGAACACCGAUGGCGAAGGCACUUUACUGGGCUAUUACUGACACUCAGAGACGAAAGCUAGGGUAGCAAAUGGG
rnacentral:rRNA from 1 species